rnacentral:rRNA from 1 species
GGCUCCUUGCAUUAUAGUAUAUAAGGAGUCGGACCUGCCCAGUGAAAAAUUUUAACGGCCGCGGUACUCUGACCGUGCAAAGGUAGCAUAAUCACUUGCCUUAUAAUUGAAGGCUAGUAUGAAUGGUUUGACGAAAGCCUCUCUGUCUCUCCUCCGUUUUGUAGAAUUUAACCUUCAGGUGAAGAGGCCUGCUUAAAAUUGAAGGACGAGAAGACCCUGUCGAGCUUUAAGAAAAUGAGGAAAACCUUAUAUUUAUAGAUAUAAAACCUCUCUUAUCUUUUGGUUGGGGCGACUAGGGAACAAUUAAAGCUUCCCUUAUUUAUUAAACUUAUUUGUCAGGAUCCAGCAUUAAUUGCUGACUAAAAGAAUUAGUUACCGCAGGGAUAACAGCAUAAUCCUUCUUGAGAGACCUUAUCGAAAGAAGGGGUUGUGACCUCGAUGUUGGACUAGGAUAUCCUGAGGGUGCAGAAGCCUUCGAUGGUUGGUCUGUUCGACCAUUAAAAUCCUA